UACAGAGGGGGCAAGCGUUGCUCGGAAUUACUGGGCGUAAAGGGCGCGUAGGCGGGAUGGCAAGUCGGUCGUGAAAUCCCUCGGCUCAACCGAGGAACGUCGAUCGAUACUGCUGUUCUUGAGGAUUGCAGAGGAGAAUGGAAUUCCUGGUGUAGCGGUGGAAUGCGCAGAUAUCAGGAGGAACACCGAUGGCGAAGGCAGUUCUCUGGGCCGUAACUGACGCUGAGGAGCGAAAGCGUGGGGAGCGAACAGG
rnacentral:rRNA from 1 species